GGCCAAAGAGCAAAGACUAUCGCAAUUGAGACAAAAUGCUACAAAGGCUUCGUUCCUUCAAACAACAAUAACUUCGACGAGUGAGGUCUAAAGGGUAAAAAUUGAAUUUUGGUCGAAUCAGUAAUCAUAUUCUAACAUGAAAUUUGGUCUCAAAGAAAGAACUUUUGGUUGGUUCAAAUCAUGAUUAUUUGCAAGCUAUACACAAAUACCAACUAUAUUACUUAUUAUUAUUAGUCUUAUGAGUCAUUCACAUGAGAGUUUGCUGCAACUCGCACAAUUCUGCAUCAAGAAACCAAAACAAAUCAAGCAAAUCCAUUCAAUUCUGAUAACCAAUGGUUACCUACUUCACAACCCAAAUGCACCAUCAAGCCUCAAAUGGAAGCGCACCCAAAUCUUCAAUGCCCUUAUUAGAGGCUACCAUUGUGGUGGUUUCACACACAAGGCUAUUGUCCUUUUCACACACAUGCUUGGGAACCAAGCUUCACCAAACAGCCACACUUUCCCUCCAAUCCUCAAAGCUGCCACUGCUGCUACUUUCCCUCCUCAUUUGGGCACUGCCCUUCACUCGCAGGCCUAUAAGCGCGGCAUUUUGUCUGAUCCCUUCAUAGGGACCACCCUUGUUGCCCUCUAUGCAAGAAAGAAUGACAUUGCUGGUGCAUGCAAGGUGUUCGAUGAAAUGCUCCAGCCGGGCCUCGUUGCUUGUAAUGCUAUGCUCAAUGCUUUGUGCACUAAUGGGGACACAGAAACUGCUUUAUGUCUCUUUGAUAGCAUUCCAAACAGGGAUGUUGUAUCUUGGACAACAAUUGUGAAUGGUUUUGCAUUGAAUGGGAAAUUUGGUGCUGCAAUUAAUUUUUUUGCAAAGAUGAUGCGUCACCGGGAUGUGUUGUAUUGUUUGGUGAAGCCUAAUGAGGCUACUUAUGUGAGUGUGAUCUCUUCAUGUGCCAAAUUAGAUGGUAAACCAGCUCUUGAUUUUGGAAAGCAAGUGCAUGGGUAUCUGGUGGUGAAUGGUAGCCUUGGAGUUUUUGUUGGAACUUCGUUGAUAGAUCUCUAUGGGAAAAUGGGUUGUUUGAAUUAUUCUAUUAAUGUCUUCAAAGUAAUGAUUUCCAAAGAGGUCUGCACUUGGAAUGCAAUGAUUUCUUCACUUGCUUCAAAUGGUAGGGAGAAAGUGGCUCUGGAUAUGUUUGACAAGAUGAAGAUAGAAGGGUUGAAACCAAAUAGCAUUACCUUAGUAGCAGUUCUUAUAGCAUGUGCUCGAGGGAAAUUUGUCAGGGAAGGAUUGGAGCUGUUCCGAUCAAUGUCAGACGACUUUAAAGUCGAACCAGUAAUGGAGCACUAUGGGUGUGUGAUUGAUCUUUUGGGUAGGGCAGGGCAUUUGCAGGAAGCAGCUGACAUCAUAAGAAAUAUGCCUUUUGAGCCUGAUGCCUCCGUAUUGGGAGCAUUUUUGGGUGCAUGUAGGAUUCAUGGAGCAAUUGAACUUGGAGAAGAAAUCGGAAGAAAGAUACUUAAAUUGCAGACACAACAUUGUGGUCAAUAUGUGUUGUUGUCAAGCAUUAAUGCUGAGAAGGGAAGAUGGAGUCAUGCCUUUGAUCUAAGGAAAGAAAUAACGGAGGCUGGUAUUCAGAAAAUUCCGGCAUACAGUAUGGUUGAUCUGACAUAGUUUUUUCUUCUGUUUAGUCUGUGCUGUGUACAAUAACUCAAUAAGGCAGAAGGAAAAAAUUAUGAGUGGGGCUUUAAGAAAAGAAUUGGAGAAGAGGCAGCAGCUUCUUACAGCAUACUUAUGUGAAUUAAACUGUCCUGAAGGCAGCAGAUGAUACUCUAAGAAUCAUUGUCCAUCGAAGGCCAUUUAUCCUUAUGAAGAAGGCUGCAAAUGAGUUACCUGUGAAGACUCGAGUCUUUACUGUAGAUAGAUUCCAGAAGGUUAUCAAUGCUGAUGCUACCACGAUCUUCUUAUGAG